rnacentral:rRNA from 1 species
UAGGGAAUUUUCGGCAAUGGGGGAAACCCUGACCGAGCAACGCCGCGUGAGCGAAGAAGGCCUUCGGGUCGUAAAGCUCUGUUGUAAAGGAAGAACGUCGCAUGCAGGAAAUGGUGUGCGAGUGACGGUACUUUGCCAGAAAGCCACGGCUAACUACGUGCCAGCAGCCGCGGUAAUACGUAGGUGGCGAGCGUUAUCCGGAAUCAUUGGGCGUAAAGAGGGAGCAGGCGGCCGCAAGGGUCUGUGGUGAAAGACCGAAGCUAAACUUCGGUGAGCCAUGGAAACCGGGCGGCUAGAGUGCGGAAGAGGAUCGUGGAAUUCCAUGUGUAGCGGUGAAAUGCGUAGAUAUAUGGAGGAACACCAGUGGCGAAGGCGACGGUCUGGGCCGCAACUGACGCUCAUUCCCGAAAGCGUGGGGAGCAAAUAGGAUUAGAUACCCUGGUAGU